GAAAAUCCGUCGACUUUCGAGAUCGUGAGGGUUCAAGUCCCUCUAUCCCCA
rnacentral:tRNA from 3 species